rnacentral:rRNA from 1 species
CCUACGUGUGGCAGCAGUAGGGAAUCUUCCACAAUGGGCGAAAGCCUGAUGGAGCAACGCCGCGGGGGUGAAGAAGGUCUUCGGAUCGUAAAACCCUGUUGUUAGAGAAGAAAGUGCGUGAGAGUAACUGUUCACGGUUCGACGGUAUCUAACCAGAAAGCCACGGCUAACUACGUGCCAGCAGCCGCGGUAAUACGUAGGUGGCAAGCGUUAUCCGGAUUUAUUGGGCGUAAAGGGAACGAAGGCGGUCUUUUAAGUCUGAUGUGAAAGCCUUCGGCUUAACCGGAGUAGUGCAUUGGAAACUGGUAGACUUGAGUGCAGAAGAGGAGAGUGGAACUCCAUGUGUAGCGGUGAAAUGCGUAGAUAUAUGGAAGAACACCAGUGGCGAAAGCGGCUCUCUGGUCUGUAACUGACGCUGAGGUUCGAAAGCGUGGGUAGCAAACAGGAUUAGAUACCCGAGUAGUC